GGAGAUGCGUCGGUUCCAGGGAGUCGGGAGAGAGACGCCCGUGCGGGAGGAAACCUCUCGAACGGUUACAUCAAGAGGAGAUUUUCCCCUAAUUUAUGUAAUUAGUUUUAACACUCCCCCUAAUCUACGCUUGACCAUGUGGAGUCGUCUUCAUGAUUGUCCGGGAAGCUUUAUCAUCAAAAACUCUUCUUCAAAAGUUCUUCAUAAAGACUUUGAUGAAAACCUGAAAUGUAAACUCACAAA
rnacentral:lncRNA from 1 species